rnacentral:sRNA from 1 species
AAUAGUUUUACAUUAAUCCACACAUACAUCGACACGACACGCAGGGUGCUUGCCUUAAAAACAAGUUGCGUUUGUUGGGAUGUAUGGAGGCAUAAC